UUUUUUUUUUUGAGGUGAAUCAUACAUUUUCUAUUUGAUUGAUGAAUAAAUGGGACAGAUGAAUUGUAACACAAUUACAGUUUUGUUAUGAAAAAAAAAAUUACGAAAGCUGCAUCAGAAUAGAAACUUCGAUAAAAAUAAGCUUCAAUGCAUUGUCAUCAUAUGGAAGAAUGGGCACUUGGCAUUGGCAAGCUAUGAAUUCAAUCACUGAUUUAUCAAAGGUUUUGGAAAUAUUAAGC
rnacentral:misc_RNA from 1 species